rnacentral:rRNA from 2 species
GAGUUUGAUCAUGGCUCAGAGCGAACGCUGGCGGCAGGCCUAAUACAUGCAAGCCGAACGGCUCUUCGGAGCAGUGGCGGACGGGUGAGUAACGCGUGGGAACGUGCCCUUUGGUUCGGAACAACACAGGGAAACUUGUGCUAAUACCGAAUGUGCCCUUCGGGGAAAGAUUUAUCGCCAUUGGGGCGGCCCGCGUUGGAUUAGCUAGUUGGUGGGGUAAAGGCCCACCAAGGCGACGAUCCAUAGCUGGUCUGAGAGGAUGAUCAGCCACACUGGGACUGAGACACGGCCCAGACUCCUACGGGAGGCAGCAGUAGGGAAUCUUGCGCAAUGGGCGAAAGCCUGACGCAGCCAUGCCGCGUGAAUGAUGAAGGUCUUAGGAUUGUAAAAUUCUUUCACCGGGGAAGAUAAUGACGGUACCCGGAGAAGAAGCCCCGGCUAACUUCGUGCCAGCCGCCGCCGUAAC